UGGAUUUCCAAAAGUAGAAAUGGUUACAAAUAAUAACAUUUUACUAAAACUCUCCUGUCUCUGUGUCAGUUUAAUGGUGUCAUCAUUUCAGUUUGGGUCUGUUGUGUUGAGGGUUUGGUAGGUGGAGUCUUGGGUUGUUGUAUUGAGGGUUUGGUAGGUGGAGUCUUGGGUUGAUGUGUUGAGGGUUUGGCAGGUGGAGUCUUGGGUUGUUGUGUUGAGGGUUUGGUAGGUGGAGUCUUGGGUUGUUUUGUAGGUGGAGUCUUGGGUUGUUGUAUUGAGGGUUUGGUAGGUGGAGUCUUGGGUUGUUGUGUUGAGGGUUUGGUAGGUGGAGUCUUGGGUUGUUGUGUUGAGGGUUUGGUAGGUGGAGUCUUGGGUUGCUGUGUUGAGGGUUUGGUAGGUGGAGUCUUGGGUUGCUGUGUUGAGGGUUUGGUAGGUGGAGUCUUGGGUUGCUAUGUUGAGGGUUUGGUAGGUGGAGUCUUGGGUUGCUAUGUUGAGGGUUUGGUAGGAGGAGUCUUGGGUUGUUGUGUCUGGAUUGGUGACUGGCCCUGUGGAACACAACAUAUAAAUCAUGUGUGUGUACGUGCAGUGGUGUGGUAGUGGUGU
ensembl:lncRNA